AUCACUGCAGAAUUCCUCCUCUGAUUUUUCUCCCUGAAAUUAGCCCGUAGUGCUAUGCUUCAGACUUCACAGGAGCCUAAAGAGAGUAACGUCCUGCGAGCAGAAGAUGCACUUGAGGAUACUUCAGUCCUGGCAGCCAAAGGCUUCACCAAUAUUGCUUCACUGAGGACAGAAAAUUCAGCAGUAGCUGACUUACAGGGCUCCCAAAAGACCGUUUUAUUCCAAAUCUAAAGGUGUGAGAACUUUCGCUUUUAAACGACGGUGCCAGGUAGUCGGAGUGAAAGAUGUUAUAAACGCAGCAUUUACUUAUCUGGAUUCCUUGGAUUUCUCUGUCACCAUUUAUAAUGGGAUAAUCUGGUGCUCAAAAAAAUGUAAAAAAGUCUUUGCAGAAAGCAGUAGAAAGACAUUUCAUGUUCCUUUUUACUGAUUACUUUUGCUUGAUGCUAGGAAACAAUUAUUUUAAGUGGAUUACUUCCAAAGAAUAACUUAAUUUGAUAAUAAAACAAAUACUACUUUCCCAUUUAUUGAUGAAUCAAGCAAGGUAAUUGGAUUUAUUACUUCUGAAUCUAUGAGUAAUCCUGUUUCCAAAUCACAUAUGUGUUUCCUCCUCUGCUUUUAUGUUCAUCAGGAGAUGACACUUAUUUAUUCCUUUUUCUUGUUGGCAGAAAUUCACUUUUUUGAAUCAGGACAGCAAUGGUCUUAUGCACUGCUUCUGAGCUCAAAAUAGAGCUAAUUUAUACUUAUGCAGCAUACAUCCUUGCUGGAGAAAAAUGAGCUUCAGUCAUCCUGAGUAGCUAAAAAUACAAGUUAAUUAAAAACAUAUCUCGCAUUAAUAUCUAUAAUAUGCAUGGUAACAGUGAAGUAGAUAUAACGAUGUUAUGAUGUUGCUUCACAGCAGCGGCCUGGAAGCUGAGAGGUCUCUGGAAUGUAUAUCCCAGCCUGGUAUGUAGGAGAUGCCUUUGAUGGGCAUAUACAGCUCGUCUGGGGAGUGGCUGUGCCAAGGAUUAUUGACGCUUCUCCUCCCUCUGCUUUUUAGCUUGACACCGCAAAUCCACCGUGCUGAAUAUUUAGAAGAUUAUAGACAAUUUAAGACGUAAUAAAAUCACAGAAUAUUUUUCAGCUAACUGAAUUAGUAAAAUAUUCAGUUUUAGCAGUAAUUAAUCUUGUAACAGUUUAUACUCCUAGAGAAUCUUUCACCUGGAGAUUUCACAUCAGUUUACAAACCUCAGGUAAACUUCUUAGAUUCGGUACUUCAUACUUCAUUUGUUUUACAGGGCUGGUCUGCUCCUACAAAGGUCUGCCAGUAUAGCCGUACCCAUUCAUACCACCAAAUUUCUGAAGUAGAAAUGUGGUUUACAUUGGAAAAACAGUUCCUCUUUUGGUACAGAGUAAAAUCUGUUCCUUGAGGAAUACGCCUGCAUAUUCUGGUUUAAAGUGUGAUUUCUUUUCAUACCUCUGUUCAGCUCAGUAAUGUUAGCAAAACUUUUAAGAGUAGAUCAAAUCAUGAACUGAAAGUGCUAAAGAAGCUCAUUCAAACUCUGAUUAUUUUCUUAUGUAAAAGGCAAAUGACCCUUAUGUUCAAAAUACAUUAUUUUGUUGAUGGGAUUCAUUGAUCAGCAUACGACCUUGGUCCCAAAGACGCGAGUCUGUUACAUUCCCCAGCUUCACCACCUUCAGUCUCUGCAUCAGUGUUGUCCUCUCGCCUGAUAAAGCAUUGCUCAAAAAUGGACAUCCAGAGCUGGAAGAACACAUCUGCAGAGCUUGAACUGAACAGCCAGCUUCUGUUGUCUGGAACUGUAGCAAAAUUGCAUCAGCUGAAAAUCGCAGAGUUCUUCUAGCUAUCAUGGUUUUACUGUGGGUCUGAAAAUAUUUUGACAUUUUUCCUGGUCUGCCAGUGUCAGACAUCUUCUUUAAUGGUGGUCAGCAGCGAAUGAUAGUGAUUCACUUGGGAGUUUCCAGGGUUUCCAGGCUACCAAGCCCCAUUGUGGUUUACGGUUGAAAAAUUUCAAUCCAACUUUUCCAUUUGUAGAUGCCAUUUGGAGCCACUGUUGCACUUUCAUACUUUUUUUUUUUUUUCAGACAGGAACAGAAUGUGGUGUUUGAACUGAAAUUACAGUCUGGGGUAGAAUAGAAGGGGGAAGAAGGAGAGACAUGUUUGUUAGGAAAAGCAUGCUAUGGGCUUUGCUGUACUGUGGGAAAACUUGCUCCUGCUGAGUCUACCCCGAGUCCCAAAUCCCCCGACUCCCACUGCCCUGAUUCCCACCGUGGUUUCCUCUGUUCCGCCUUCUACAUAAAGACAAAAAAAGCCAGAUCUUUUGAACUAAUCUAAUAUAUCCAUUCCUCCUCAGUCUCUUCCUUCUCUCCCCAUUGCUCCCAGAAAGGGAGGGACUUUUUCUAACCAUUACAGGGCAUCCUAGGGCUUUCUCACAUCACUUCCAACACAUUCCUCGCCUCCGUUCACCCAGGAAGAAUCUGCUGCAUUUGAUUUCUGUCUCAGGUCACUCAUCUCACAGCUAUGUGCCAGGAAAUACACUGCUCUUCUGGUAGACUAAACAAAAGGAAACCCACCUGGGACCGAGAGGAGACACUAGCCUCUCUUUUAACAACUUCACUUCUAAACCAUCCUUCCAUCCCCUGCCUUCAUCUCCCUCCCUGUAGCAGAGACUCCGCACUAAAGCAAAGUGAACACAAAGAAAGGACACCUGUUCCCAGCCCUGCUAAAGAGAGAAAAGCUGCUUCUGCCUAAAGGCUAGAGCUGAGCUGAACGCUUUACGGCUGCAGGAGUUGGUUAGGCUGCUGAUAGACCCACGCGAGGGAAAUAGGAGCCUCUUACACAACACCAGCAAAUAACAACUGAAAAGUAACUUACAUCACAGGAGAAUGGCAGGGGGAAACCAAGGUACAAUAAUCACCACUCGUUUGCGCCUAUAUAAAUAUGGAUAUGUCAUCUGGUUGGGAUGUACGCAAGUGUUCCUUCAAUACAAAAUAUUAAAAAAAAAAAAAAGUGAAAAAACCUGGUAAUUUGCUGUCAACACUUACAGCAGGCGACCACACUCUUCCCUCACUCGUUACAGAGCUCGCACAAAUUCUUCUUUUUCUGCAGACGUCACGGUCAUCACCAGCAUGAGCAGAAGGAUGCUUCUCGUAGCAUGCCCUGGAGAUCAACAGACCCGGGCUAUUUCAGACCAGUGAGUCCUUUCCAGAGCUGAGAGCUCCUCACAGAGACUGCCCUGCAAGCGUCACCUUCUUUUUCAGCUUGAGUGGCUUUUCUUCUUGCAGCCGUGGCAGUAUGGCAGAAAGGAGACAGGAUAGCUCUCUCGCGUGUCCAGCGCUUCCUUUCUCACUGCUAGUGAUUCAAAGGAUUAAAACAGCAGGAUAUAAAGCAACAGAUGGGGGUUUCAUUCGUUCCCUGGGCUUUGAAAACAGACUCGACAAAAUAUAUCUAUUGUUAUUACUGUGACCUCCAGUAUGGUGAAUGCAGAUUUCAGUUUCAGAUGGGAGGGAGAUGUCUCUGGGUCCAAGGCAGUGGGCACCAUGGAGGAGAGAAACACUCCAGUGAAAUUUUAUCCACAUUAUUCAAGAAAAAAACAGUUUUUAGCAAAGAUCAGUGCAUUCAAGAUGUACAAGAUACCCCCGUUUUUCUCCAUCUCUUCCCCUUCUCCUGGGAAGCCAGCACAGAGGAGCAGAAGCCAGAGGGUUGGCAGUAGGAGCGGUGAACCCCAAGUCCUGCGGUGAGGUACUGGCCUCUCAGGCCUGUCCCUGGUACUGGGAAUAACCCAACAAGCAAAAUAAAAAAAGAAGCAAGAAGUUGCCUGUGAGAGAAGGAAGGCCAUGGCGAUCAGUGGCCUGACUCCCAUGUUGUCUGAAGCUGUGGAAGGAAAACCAGCCAGUUCUGAGGCUGCUCGUAUGAUUUUUGGGACACAGUUUUAUGACAGAAGAAGGAACUGUAGCUUUUCCAUACCUGAUCAGUGGGCCAGCCUUGUGUGGAUGAUGUGCAGAGAGGGAGGAGAGGAUUUCCCUAAGUUCCCUGUUUCCCCAGGUUGCUCAUUGGAGGGCUCCAAGUGUGGAACCAGAGCUUCAGUUUCAGAGCAAGGGAUGAAGGAAAGAGCCUCCAGAAAUGGCCUCAUUCUUCUUUUAACAGAUACCAAAGGGAAAUAUUAGUCCCAAUAAGAGGAUUUUGCUUCUGGGGUUCAUAACCCGGGAGUUUUGUGGAUCUUCCAGAGCCCAGAUGUGAUAGAUGACAUUAACUUCUCCAGAGUCAUCACUUUUAAUCUCCACAUGAGAAGAAUUGGGUCAUUUUUGCAUGGCCAGAGACAGCAGUUCCCCUUGCACUGUAGCUUUACGUACUGGAGAUAACACUUUCUAUAAAUCAAGACAGGCUGUAAAAAGUGACAAAAACUGUGAAGUUUGGCUUGCCAGGAAACUGUUAUCGUGUAUGUGUAUUUUUUUUUAGAAAAAAACCCAUUUAAUAUCCACAUCCCGUUUUGUCAAUCUUUCAAAAGCCCUGACAGGGAUGUGAACGUUGCUCAAGAGCUAUUACAUGUCGUGAUUAUAAUUUGUUCUUUUUGAAGAGGGUGAUGUCUAAGUCGUUUUUGAUGAUUACAUUUCCUUGGUCUAUAUUUAUUUGAAAGGCACUUUUCAAACCUGAGAAUUGUUUCCAAACAGUAUGCAUAAAUGAUUAGUACUGCUUUCAGUCGUGCAGUUUGAUCCCUACUCCCUUUAGAUGUUAGUGUAGAUGUGAAGACAACACCCUGUCUGGUGCAGAAAGAAUAGACCUUAACCGCUGCAGCAGCUGAAAGAUUUGGAAUGUUUUGAAGAGAAAAUGAGCCACUUCCUACAGAGUCAGUCAGAGCUCUAGGUUAUAAAAUCCACCAUUACUUUGCAUGUGCUAAGGACGUGGUGUUUACUAGCAGAAUGCUGUGUAAGCGACUAAUAAAUACCAUGGCUUCAAACACACGGAUUUCCUGUUUCGAGCCUCAUUCUGUCGCUUACAAGCAACUUAGUCUUACUUUUCGGCUGCUAUGCCACAAACCCUAAAUUAUCUUCAAAUUUUUCAAAUUCAAAAGAAACUCCGUCUAGCUAAUUGUUUAAUGCCUCUCUAAAGAAUCAGGGCGUUUUACAUGAGACUCACCAGAAUGAAUACUUAUCCCAGACAUCUGCCUUUGAAAAGAAGGUUCCUCAUUGCGCCAGUAAGGAAAAUAUUUUGUGAGUGCUGCAAUUUCUUUUCCAGCUAAGUGACAAGGAACAUUUGAGUUUGGAUAAAAUAGGUGUAUAUAUUUUCUUUCUUGUCAUUUUUUUGUUUCAAUGCUUAAUUAUUAGUGCCCUUCACCGUUCGAGAACUAGGAAGGAACAACUUUUCUUGAGAAAAGAAUAGGUAACCACCUAGUGAAAUGUCAAAACUAAAGAAUCAUUGUGUUUUGAUGGCACACGUUAUGUACUGAAGUCUCUAUAGCUCUCCAUAGAUUCUGAUACAUUUUAGACUUGUAUUUAUUUUGAAAAAAAAAAAGGAACGGUUGUUGUGAAAGUUAGCACAUGUUCCAGAAGAGGUAUAUGUGUAGAGAGACUGAUUUUUAAGGGUGUGACCAUAAGAUGCACAUGAAAUGAGCACACACUAAUUUUAUCUUUGUCAGGACUAGCAGCAGUGUGGUCUGGGAGCUUUUAUAUUCUUUGCUGGUUUUUCGACUAGAGUCUUCCCCUCUGCAGAUCCUGUUCUUUCCCUUCCCGCAUCUGAUCCAACACCCGUUUCCAAACUCAAUGUGCUUUCUGUCCUUUGGUUCUUGAACGGCCUCUAUUUUCUUUUUACCUCUUCUUUUCUUUAAGGCUGCAACAUAUAUUAGAACUCACAAAACAGGCUUAAUGCAAACCAGCCCCCAAGCUGUCUCUGUGUAACGCGGGCAUGUGUGACCCAAAACAACGGGACAGAGUUUCUUCAGUUACUGCUGGGACAUUCACGUAAGAAGCAAACAUCGUUUAAACAGAUGUUCUUCUGAAAUGCAGAGAAGGAGCUUGAUUAUGUGUGUCUCCCCCCUCUUUGUGAGGCGACAAUGUGUUGUGAAGUUCACCUGAUGCCUCAGUCCUUUUGCGUGCCAACUUGUGGCUACAAAGCUGGAGGGAGGAAGCACAUCUUGCAAUUUGACCACAGGGAAGAAAAUAACAAAUGUCUCAAACCAGAGGAGCACAGAAGGGCAACGCAGCACCGUUAUGCACAGAGAUGGGGGGUGGCACAGCUGGAAUCCUGGAUGCGGUAUCAGAUGGCACUGAAGUGUUUAUUUGGGGUUGCUGUGAGGUGGGAGAGAAGUAUUGACACAACUCCUUUAGUCCCCUGGUAAAUCCAUUCCUAGGCUUUCAGCCUUCUCUUUCCUUUAAAGAAACUGAAAAUGUCCUCCAGAGGUCCACUGUUCAUCUAUUUGAAAUUAUUUGUAAAGCCUUUGCAGAAUUUGGGCUUGCAGCAGAAAUGGACUGAAAGUAGCAAUGAGCCAGAGCUGUGAGACAGACCAGAGAGAGUCUGUAUAACGUGUACCCCCUUAAAAAUAGUUACUGUGUUCUUCUAAAAGCAGUAACAGAAUAUGAAUUGUAAUCUUGCUGUUCUUAGAUUGUCAGUUUGGCUCUAGCUAAGCUACCAUUUAAGGCCAGUUUGUACAAGGGGUAGGAGUGUUAAAAAAAUAAUUGGCGGUAGCUAUUUUCAUCUAUCACUUUCCAGUGAAUGAUUUUCUAUUUAAUUUCUGCUACUGUUUGUCAGCAAUUUUCUUGUGGAUCUUUUUCUUUUCCUUUCUUUUCUUUUCUUUUUUUUUUUUU